ACGGGAGGCAGCAGUGGGGAAUAUUGCACAAUGGGGGAAACCCUGAUGCAGCGACGCCGCGUGAGUGAAGAAGUAUUUCGGUAUGUAAAGCUCUAUCAGCAGGGAAGAAAAUGACGGUACCUGACUAAGAAGCCCCGGCUAACUACGUGCCAGCAGCCGCGGUAAUACGUAGGGGGCAAGCGUUAUCCGGAGUUACUGGGUGUAAAGGGUGCGCAGGUGGUAAGGCAAGUCAGGAGUGAAAUCCCGGGGCUCAACCCCGGAACUGCAUUUGAAACUGUUUCCCUUGAGUAUCGGAGAGGCAAGCGGAAUUCCUAGUGUAGCGGUGAAAUGCGUAGAUAUUAGGAGGAGCACCAGUGGCGAAGGCGGCUUGCUGGACGACAACUGACGCUGAGGCGCGAAAGCGUGGGGAGCAAACAGGAUUAGAUACCCUGGUA
rnacentral:rRNA from 1 species